rnacentral:lncRNA from 1 species
ACUAAUAACCAACCAACAAUCCUUGGCGUUGUUGUGCUGGGAGACCUCAGCCAACGUAAAGACCUUAGUUUCACCGCCCAUUAUUAUUAUUAAACAAACAAGAAAGAAAGACUGUAGAGCAGAGAUGAAACAAAGAUCGAAAUUGGGCUUGAUUUGUCUCUUCAAGACCUGUGUAAAGGCUUGAAGAGAUACAAGGCUGAGGGUGUCUCUUUUGCGGAGGAAACGAGGCGUUUUGGUGAGUGGGAGCAGAGUGGAGAAGGUGGUUGUUUUGGGUUAAUAAUUAAUAAUAAAAAGAGAGGUUAGAAUUCAAGUUGGAUG